rnacentral:lncRNA from 1 species
GUCAAAAAAAAAUAAGUCAGACUGACAACAUUGCCAAUGGACUCCAUUCAAGUUGCAAUUAACAACUCUUACCUCCAUGUCUUAAAGGUGGUUUAGGAAAAUUGCAGACAGACCAUGAGGCAAACAGUGGAGAUAAUGAGGUGCGAUCUUACCUGGCCUGCAGUUUCAGACGCCCAAGCCAGUUACCUGUGUCACAGAUAUUUUUUAUUCACUGUGGAAGCAAACUUUGAAAGUAAAAAUAUAAAUGAGCUCAUGAGAGAAGUCACCGGUAGCCUUGGAUUUUUGCUUCAAGACAAAAGGAUGGUUUCCAAUCUCCCCUUCCUUCCAUUUCUGCACUUCACUGUCAUAUUUUAAUUCGUUGUGGUAAGAAUUGUUAUUUUUUAGUGGAUUCCAAUUCUGGCAGUUAUCAAGGGAGCUCCUGUAUGGUAGCCGUUGUGGACAUGUUGAUCCAGCUGGUCACAGCUGGUUCUGCUGAUGCUCCCCAACCUCAAGCUCAGCUCCUUGAGCUAUUCCUGAUGGAAAUGGGUAAUACAGCAUGACUCCCCUCCCAGGCUGGUAUUAUGUUAUGCUCAGACUGAAGAUUCAAUGACUCCAGGUGACUGAGGGGCUCCCACACUGCUCUUUACUAAUUACAUCUGAGAUCUACUGGCAAUACUAAUGGCCACAAGGAAUCAGGUAAGUCUGGAGUAUAGCCCCCUUCACUAACUUAUUUCUCUAUAUUCAUUCACUCAGUCCACAUACUAGAACUACAGUUUUGAUGCCCUUUCCUUAGUCCAGUCAGUUUAGUUGUGUAGUUCACUAGUCCAGAUGCUGGAGACCCUAGCUCUAGUGACCCCAUUAUUUAGAUCUGGUUCUCUCGCUUUGAAUAAGACCCUAGAGAGUGUGCCCACUGACAUUUAGACCUGUCAGUAUCCACCAGUCUACUUCCGGCCUUUGCUGACUAGAUGCAACUUGCUGGUACAGCCAUUCUGAAAAUGAAGAUGGAGACAAGUAUAGCCCCAUGGGCACUGGGCAUGAUGUGACCUCCAGUAGCUCUGGAGCUAUCCCUUGUCUCAUCUCAGUGUGCAUGUCUCAGGCUAGCUCCUGCUCCAUUCCCAGCUCACCUGACAGUCCUA